rnacentral:rRNA from 1 species
UGAGUCAUUAAAAAAUUAACAUCAUCCGAUCCCUAGUCGGCAUAGUUUAUGGUUAAGACUACGACGGUAUCUGAUCGUCUUCGAUCCCCUAACUUUCGUUCUUGAUUAAUGAAAACAUCCUUGGCAAAUGCUUUCGCAGUAGUUAGUCUUCAAUAAAUCCAAGAAUUUCACCUCUGACAAUUGAAUACUA